GAAAUGCGAUAAUUAAUGUGAAUUGCAGAAUUCAGUGAAUCAUCGAGUAUUUGAACGCACAUUGCGCCCCCUGGUAUUCCGGGGGGCAUGCCUGUCCGAGCGUCAUUGCUGCCCUCAAGCACGGCUUGUGUGUUGGGCUUCCGUCCCUGGCAACGGGGACGGGCCCAAAAGGCAGUGGCGGCACCAUGUCUGGUCCUCGAGCGUAUGGGGCUUUGUCACCCGCUCCCGUAGGUCCAGCUGGCAGCUAGCCUCGCAACCAAUCUUUUUAACCAGGUUGACCUCGGAUCAGGUAGGGAUACCCGCUGAACUUAAGC
rnacentral:misc_RNA from 1 species